rnacentral:lncRNA from 1 species
UGUGAAUUCAGCAGCCAUGAAGACUUGGGUGCCGUGGCAGGAGGGCCCAGCCCAGGGCCUGGCUCAUCGCUCACACCCCAGCACACAGGGCCACCCAGGGAUCAGACGGGAGGGCAUGUGGAGCUUCGAGUGCCUGUGACAUGAUCCCACUCUCCUCCUUUGGUGGUUGCGGCAUGGCUCCUCCAGCGAAGGCAGGAGGGUUGAUAUUACAGUCGUGUACCGCAAUAACGACAUUUUGGUCAACAGACGACAGUGGUCCCAUGAGAUUAGUACCACGUAACUAAGGCGUGUAGCAGGCCGUACCAUCCAGGUUCCUGUUGCCUUAAAGCAACACUGAAAACAAUGGAGUGGGAGCACGUGCUCGUGGAGCUGUAGGGAGCAGAAGGAUGCCGUUCGCCGUGUACUGUGCUCUGCUGUGCUUUGGAGCAAGUCCAAUCUGCUCCAUGAGAUCCUAAGUUCUUGGAGGGCAUGGGUGGUGUCUUUGUCCCUUUGUGUUCUCCCUAGUGCCUAGAGAGGGCAGCGCUAAGAGCCCCUCGAUGACUGGGGAGCAGUGUGGCCAGCAGACAGACCAUGAACUUUGACAGCGGUCAAGUCCUCGAAUCCUGGCUCUGGCACUCACCAGCUGUGCCCCUUUAAAAUCUGCUUCAACCUCUUCUGUAAAACAGAAGCUGCU